CCUACGGGUGGCAGCAGUGAGGAAUAUUGGUCAAUGGGCGCGAGCCUGACCCAGCCAAGUAGCGUGAAGGAUGACUGCCCUACGGGUUGUACACUUCUUUUAUCAAGGAAUACAGUGAUGCACGUGUGCCUUUUUGUAUGUACCCUAUGAAUAAGGAUCGGCUAACUCCGUGCCAGCAGCCGCGGUAAUACGGAGGAUCCGAGCGUUAUCCGGAUUUAUUGGGUUUAAAGGGAGCGUAGGUGGGUUGUUAAGUCAGUUGUGAAAGUUUGCGGCUCAACCGUAAAAUUGCAAUUGAUACUGGCAGUCUUGAGUACAGUAGAGGUAGGCGGAAUUCGUGGUGUAGCGGUGAAAUGCUUAGAUAUCACGAAGAACUCCGAUUGCGAAGGCAGCUUACUAAACUGCCACUGACAUUGAUGCUCGAAAGUGUGGGUAUCAAACAGGAUUAGAUACCCGAGUAGUC
rnacentral:rRNA from 1 species